AUUGAACGCUGGCGGCAGGCCUAACACAUGCAAGUCGAACGGUAACAGGAAGAAGCUUGCUUCUUUGCUGACGAGUGGCGGACGGGUGAGUAAUGUCUGGGAAACUGCCUGAUGGAGGGGGAUAACUACUGGAAACGGUAGCUAAUACCGCAUAACGUCGCAAGACCAAAAAGGGGGACUUCCGGGCCCCUGGCCAUCGGAUGUGCCCAAAUGGGAUUAGCUAGUAGGUGGGGUAACGGCUCACCUAGGCGACGAUCCCUAGCUGGUCUGAGAGGAUGACCAGCCACACUGGAACUGAGACACGGUCCAGACUCCUACGGGAGGCAGCAGUGGGGAAUAUUGCACAAUGGGCGCAAGCCUGAUGCAGCCAUGCCGCGUGUAUGAAGAAGGCCUUCGGGUUGUAAAGUACUUUCAGCGGGGAGGAAGGGAGUAAAGUUAAUACCUUUGCUCAUUGACGUUACCCGCAGAAGAAGCACCGGCUAACUCCGUG
rnacentral:rRNA from 1 species